rnacentral:rRNA from 1 species
ACGAACGCUGGCGGCGUGCCUAAUACAUGCAAGUUGAGCGCUGAAGGUUGGUACUUGUACCGACUGGAUGAGCAGCGAACGGGUGAGUAACGCGUGGGGAAUCUGCCUUUGAGCGGGGGACAACAUUUGGAAACGAAUGCUAAUACCGCAUAAAAACUUUAAACACAAGUUUUAAGUUUGAAAGAUGCAAUUGCAUCACUCAAAGAUGAUCCCGCGUUGUAUUAGCUAGUUGGUGAGGUAAAGGCUCACCAAGGCGAUGAUACAUAGCCGACCUGAGAGGGUGAUCGGCCACAUUGGGACUGGGACACGGCCCAAACUCCUACGGGAGGCAGCAGUAGGGAAUCUUCGGCAAUGGACGAAAGUCUGACCGAGCAACGCCGCGUGAGUGAAGAAGGUUUUCGGAUCGUAAAACUCUGUUGGUAGAGAAGAACGUUGGUGAGAGUGGAAAGCUCAUCAAGUGACGGUAACUACCCAGAAAGGGACGGCUAACUACGUG